GAUGAAGAACGUAGAGAAAUGCGAUAAGUAAUGUGAAUUGCAGAAUUCAGUGAAUCAUCGAAUCUUUGAACGCACAUUGCGCCCGCCAGCAUUCUGGCGGGCAUGCCUGUUCGAGCGUCAUUUCAACCCUCGACAUCCCCUUGGGGAAGUCGGCGUUGGGGACCGGCAGCACACCGCCGGCCCCGAAAUUGAGUGGCGGCCCGUCCGCGGCGACCUCUGCGUAGUAAUCCAACCUCGCACCGGAACCCCGACGUGGCCACGCCGUAAAACACCCAACUUUCUGAACGUUGACCUCGGAUCAGGUAGGAAUACCCGCUGAACUUAAGCAUAUCAAUAAGCGGAGGA
rnacentral:misc_RNA from 1 species